UAUUAAUGUAAUCAUGGUCUUAUAAAUAUAAAGUAAAAAAAUCAUUUUUAAAUUAUGUUUUUUAGUAGAGUGAAUCGAAAUAACUGAUAAUAAAUUAUAGAUUAAAGUACUGUAAAGGAAAGAUGAAAUAAAUUGAAAAAUUAAUUAAUAAAAAGUAAGGGUAAAUACUUGUACCUCGUGUAUUAGGGAAAAUCAAAAUGAUCUUGAUACUUAAAGAAAUCCCGAAGGAGAAAGAGCUAUUAUAAAUAUAUAGUUUUCGUAUUAAUGAAAUUAUUAAAUCUGUAGUAGUAGUGAAAUGCUAAUCGUUUUCUCAUAUCUGGUUAUUGGUGAAUUAAAUUUAAUUUAGUUAUAUUAAGGUAAACAAAAGUUUUAAUAUAAUAAAGAAUAGGAGGGAAAAGCUUCUUAUUCUAACAUAGGUUAGUUAUGAUAUUAUAAAUGAUUAUUUUAUUGAGUUAGGCUUAAAAACAGCCAUACUGUUAAAACGUUCUAGUUAAUAUAAUUUCCUUGUUAUAUUAUUUUGAUAAAAUAAAUCUAACUGUUAGUAGCCAAUAUUUAUGCUAAGUAAAAUAUCAAAAGUUAUAAUGAUUUUAUUAGUAGAAAUGUAAUUGUGUAAUAAAAAUAAAGUUAAAUAAUGUGUAUAUUUUUAUUUCUAUUUAGGUAUAAUUAAGGAACUCGGCAAAUAUUACUUUUGCCUGUUCAUCAAAAACAUGUCUAUAUGAUUGUUAUAUAAAGUCUAGCCUGCCCACUGAAUUGUUUUUUAAAGGGCCGCGGUAUACUGACCGUGCGAAGGUAGCAUAAUCAUUAGUCUUUUAAUUGAAGGCUCGUAUGAAUGGUUGGACAAAAAGUAAGCUGUCUCAAUUAUAAUAGUUGAACUUAACUUUUAAGUGAAAAGGCUUAAAUAACUUAAGGGGACGAUAAGACCCUAUAAAACUUGACAAUAACUUAAUUAAAUUAUAAAUUGUUAGUAUAACUUGACUUUUAAUUAAGGUUUGUUGCGUUGGGGCGACGGGAAUAUAAUUAGUAACUGUUCUUAAAUAUAUUAAUAACAAAUAUAAUUGAAAAAUGAUUGAUCCUUUAUUAAAGACUAAAAGAUUAAGUUACUUUAGGGAUAACAGCGUAAUCUUCUUUGAGAGUCCUCAUCGACAAGAAGGUUUGCGACCUCGAUGUUGAAUUAAGGUAUCCUUAUAAUGCAGCAGUUAUAAAGGAAGGUCUGUUCGACCUUUAAAUCCUUACAUGAUUUGAGUUCAGACCGGCGUGAGCCAGGUCGGUUUCUAUCUCUUAAUUUUAUUAUAAUUAUCUUAGUACGAAAGGAUUAGGUAGUUAAAAUAAUUUUAUUUUAUAUGAUUAAUUUUAAUUUGUUUAUUU
rnacentral:rRNA from 1 species